AUCUUAAUUCGUGGUUAUUUUUGGAGUUAGAUAGUUUAUAAAUGGACAGAUCCUAACGGGACUCACGAAACAACCUAUCUCACGUCACCGCAGCUGUGACUUAGUAAGCCGCCUAACUAAAUCGCAAGACUUCAGACAUUUUAAACCCUACUGUGUUUUACAACUGUAAUAGCCAUUAGCCAGUAAAACUUAUUCAUUUUUUUCUUUUCUUUUUUAUCUUUCUAAUGAACUUGCAGUAUUCAACGCAAGUGGGAAUCAAUAAAAUGCAUAUCAUCUACUACCCAGUGAAUCCGAGAUAUGAUUUUUAGAUGGACAGCUAUCAGCCCAAGUUCAUAGUUGCGUCUAUUAUAUUAUAAUACCAAUACCUGUCGAUGUUAAGUCACCAUAUGGUUGCAGUUUUCUUUCAACAAGAGGAAAAUCAAUAAGAAGUGAUUCUAAAUGACAAAAUAUGAUCUAAAAAGAAAAAAGCUAGAAAAUGUAAAAAAAAAAAUGCAGCAAAAUAAAAAUUAGUUAUUUUAGAUUUGCAAUGCUGAAACACUACAAGUACUUAUUUUAAUAUAAUAUAUAUGAGCAGUUUAUGACUGGUAUAGUUUAAGCCCUUCGGGGUCGUUGAUUAAAAAUAUUGACUGUUGCCGUAGCUACAUUUAAUUGAACAGAAAAUUAUGUUUCAUGAGUUAGGUAUAUGGUUUAUAUUUUAAUACAUGGUUUAAUUCUUAACGCAAAUAUAUGGUACGUUUUUAAUAUUAUGUAUAUAAUAUAUACCUGUUAAGUGUUAAUGCAGUUCGUGCCACUCUAGUGCCAUUAACUCCGAUCGAAUACCGUAUUGUUGAAAACUUCCUAAAAAAAAUUUGCAUCUCCAACCAUUGAGAAUAUGAUCGGAAAUUAACAAUUUUAGGUGAGGCUGUUUUUGCAGGUGAACAUUCUGAUGAUUUCUCAUUCAGAACCUACAAAGUCUGUCACCAACAUCCUAAAUUGGCUGUACGAAUAAUACCGAAACUGCAUAUUAAUAUGUGCAUUUAAGAUAUCACGAACAUUUGAUUGGCAAUCGGCGACGACGAGCUCUUUGACGGAAUCGUCACCUUGUUUGCGCCUAUUCUUAUAAAGAUUUUAAUACAUUCGAUAUAAUAAUAUUUGAUAUUUUCAUAUAUAUAUGUAUAACAUGCAAAUUGCACACGUACAUAUAUACACAAGUACCUAUGAUCUAUCCUACAAAGGAUUUAUAUCCUUAUGAAAAGCUACAUCUAACUAAUUUGCAAGACUUUUUAAGAGAAAAGAUUAUCAUAUUUUAAAAUCAUAUUAUUAUUUAUUACAUACCUUCCUACACUAUAUGAACUAUAUAUGUAUCACAUAAUAUAUUUUUUCUAUGUAUAUUUAAAUUUAUAUUUCUGUAGCUCGUUGGACUUAGGACAAAGCUGAUCGAAAACAACGAAUAGGUACCUGAUAGCGAUGACGCGUAUUUGUGCAGUGGCCGACGUUAUUACAAAUAAAUAAGCACAAUAUGCCGCUGUUAGAAAUAUUUCCGAGGGCCUCAAGCCGAGUCCUGAAGUCGAUGUUCCACAUGCCAAUCUGGUUCAAUGAACAAUUUAUCUUGACGAUAACCAGUGAAAAAACAUUGGUUCACGAUGCCUGUUUUGUUCCAUUCGUGUCCAUCAAGGGGCGUGAUCCAUUCACUGUACAUAGCCAGUGGCGUGGCGAAGUCGUAGAAAUGAUCAGAGACAAGCAUAGUAUAUCCGCCACCGUUCACCAUACAAUAGUACCCACAUAACUUUUAUAACCCCUACCUACAAGUGUAUCUUGGUGCAAGGGCGUCUUUGAGUGAAGUCAACAGCCGAUCGAAGGCGAUCGCCGAUCGUUUAUACGUGAAGUAUACUAUAUAACUAUGGAAUUUUCCUUUUUAAAAAGUUAUUUUUUAACUGUUUAUUUUGUUUGUUAGGUUUUUUAUUUUGUUUAUAAAGUCUAAAAAUAAAAAAUCGCAAAAAGCUGUAACCGUCUACACUAUAGUCUAAUAUUUAAUCAAUAAUAAGUAUCGGAAAUUGUUAAGAUAUUUAUUAUAAUACAUAAAUAUUAAUUAUUCGAUUAUUCAACAUUAUAUUCAUCGUAUUUACCUUCAGAAUAAAAUUCUUCUGAACUUUUGAGUCCUUACAGUCUGUAUUCCGGACGUUGAAUCUUGUUCAAGAUUAAAGUUGACUUUAAAUACCUAAAGAAUAUAAUUUUCUAUAUUUAAUUAUUUCAAUGAUUGUAAUUUUAAGCUUUUUAAGGUGUUUUGUAUAGGCAAUUUUACUACAAAUUCAUACAAAUUCAAAAUGUUUACUAUGUCUUCAAAAAAAAAAAAAAAACCAUUGCAGUUAUAAAAAUGUUGUAGUUAGUGUAGAUAGGCAUAAUAUAAUAGUGUAACAUAAUUGACUUCUGUCAUUUGUAAUUGUUUUUUGUCAACGUGCGUAUAAAUCCCACGCAGACGACAAAUUAUGUGUAAUUUAUCGCGCAAUUACCUAUUUAACACGUAAUUUGCAAGAAUUUGCAUAAACUAUUUCACAAUUUACUCGUAUUUAGUUUAAACGCAAAUAAAAGUCUCAAAGGAUAGAGUCAGCCAAUAGCUGACACAUGUCUUCAGUGCCACUCGUACCGAUCACAAAUUAAAUUGUUAGCAAUUGAUCCAGCACAUAAUUAACAUUUAUCUACACGACUGAUCCGAAACGUGUACCUACUGUUGGCUCGCAAAAACCAUUUUCCUAAUCCGCACAUAUUAUAUAUUCUAAACCCAAACCACGGCUCGAAAUAUUAUGUGCAAAUUACGUGCUAAAUAACGGUGCAGGAAAACCGCUGGAAUCCAAAAUAUUUUGUUAAUUAUUAUAGAUAUUAUUAAUAUAAUUAUUAUUACAUAGUUUAUCCUAGAGAAAUGUAGUCGUUAGAUAAGGCCGUAAAUUCCUACUUCAUAGAUAUGUUCCACGGACGCGAAGAAAAUUGCAGGACUAAUUAAAAUGUUUGAGUCUGUACAGAAGAAAGCCAAUCCACUGAACGCCAUUCAAAAAAAAAAACGUUUAAGAAAACGUCGUACCCGCAUGUGUUGUCUCCGUCGUACACACGUAUAACAUAGCAAAUUUUCGUUCACCAGAUUCAAAAAAAUCCAAUCCAAUAUUGAUCAAUGUACAACUCGCUUAAACUCCCAUGCACAAAAAAAAAAAAAAAUUAUAAUGCCAUAAAAUUGCACAUAAGAGGGGAUCUGAGAGACGAACCUUUUUCGUGCCGAUCAUCCAAAG